GCACAAGCGGUGGAUGAUGUGGAUUAAUUCGAUGCAACGCGAAAACCUUACCUACCCUUGACAUGCUAGGAACUUGCCAGAGAUGGCUUGGUGCCCGAAAGGAACCUAGACACAGGUGCUGCAUGGCUGUCGUCAGCUCGCGUCGUGAGAUGUUGGGUUAAGUCCCGCAACGAGCGCAACCCUUGUCAUUAAUUGCCAUCAUUCAGUUGGGCACUUUAAUGAGACUGCCGGUGACAAACCGGAGGAAGGUGGGGAUGACGUCAAGUCCUCAUGGCCCUUAUGGGUAGGGCUUCACACGUAAUACAAUGGUCGGUACAGAGGGUUGCCAACCCGCGAGGGGGAGCCAAUCCCAGAAAACCGAUCGUAGUCCGGAUUGUAGUCUGCAACUCGACUGCAUGAAGUCGGAAUCGCUAGUAAUCGCGGAUCAGCAUGUCGCGGUGAAUACGUUCCCGGGCCUU
rnacentral:rRNA from 1 species